rnacentral:lncRNA from 1 species
UCUAAACCUAUAAGGACCAAAUCAAACGGCACAGAAGAGCGAAAUUGUUUGCUCAGAAAGUCAGAAGCUAAAAAUAUGUAUGUAAACAAAUCAUCUUUUCUUCUAGUGAUCCACACAGCAACUUAACUAACCGGCCUCAAUACUACUCAAAUUGGAACUAGACAAUGAGCUCCCCUUGUGUUCAUGACUACAUAAUGUUUUCAUGUUCUAAGUUUCCCAACAACCUGGUCCUUUCACUCCAGGGGAUGAUGUAGACAGAAAUUAGGAAAAUGCAUAUAGUCAAUUAUAACAACAAUGUAACAUCACCAAAGUCAGUUAAAUUUUAAGAUGCAUGUAUGAUCCAGGUUCUAUAGAACAUGGUAGAAGGUGAAGUACGCAAACAAAGAAAAUUUGGUGCUCAGAGCCUCACACCAAAGACAUAUUGUUGGGAAAAUUUCGUAUGCACCAGCAUGUCCUAAAAAUUCUAAUGGAAUGGCUUAGGAAUGCGAAAUUAACUGGGUGAAUGAGAAGGCUAUAUAAACCUGCCAGUGCUACUUGAAAAGCAUGUAUCUUUUGAUACUUUAUUGAGAUGACAUUAUAUUUGCACAUGAG